rnacentral:rRNA from 1 species
UACGUAGGUGGCAAGCGUUUGUCCGGAUUUAUUGGGUUUAAAGGGUGCGUAGGCGGCUUUGUAAGUCAGUGGUGAAAUACUCCAGCUUAACUGGAGGGGUGCCAUUGAUACUGCGGAGCUUGAGUACAGAUGAGGUAGGCGGAAUUGACGGUGUAGCGGUGAAAUGCAUAGAUAUCGUCAAGAACACCGAUACGAAGGCAGCUUACUGGGCUGUAACUGACGCUGAUGCACGAAAAGUGUGGGGGAUCAAAACAGG